AGAGUUUGAUCCUGGCUCAGAUUGAACGCUGGCGGCAUGCUUUACACAUGCAAGUCGAACGGCAGCACGGGGGCAACCCUGGUGGCGAGUGGCGAACGGGUGAGUAAUGCAUCGGAACGUAUCCUUGAGUGGGGGAUAACGCAUCGAAAGGUGUGCUAAUACCGCAUAAGCUCUGAGGAGGAAAGCGGGGGACCGAAAGGCCUCGCGCUGAAGGAGCGGCCGAUGUCCGAUUAGCUAGUUGGUGAGGUAAAGGCUUACCAAGGCGACGAUCGGUAGCUGGUCUGAGAGGAUGAUCAGCCACACUGGGACUGAGACACGGCCCAGACUCCUACGGGAGGCAGCAGUGGGGAAUUUUGGACAAUGGGGGCAACCCUGAUCCAGCCAUGCCGCGUGAGUGAAGAAGGCCUUCGGGUUGUAAAGCUCUUUCGUUGGGAACGAAAUAGCCAGGGUGAAUAAUCCUGGUGACUGACGGUACCCAAAUAAGAAGCACCGGCUAACUACGUGCCAGCAGCCGCGGUAAUACGUAGGGUGCGAGCGUUAAUCGGAAUUACUGGGCGUAAAGCGUGCGCAGGCGGUUUGUUAAGUCAGAUGUGAAAGCCCCGGGCUUAACCUGGGAAUUGCGUUUGAUACUGGCAAGCUAGAGUCCUGUAGAGGGGGGUAGAAUUC
rnacentral:rRNA from 1 species